rnacentral:rRNA from 1 species
GAUGGUCCCGAUGAACAAGUUGAUGCGGAGGGGUUCACGGUGAAGGAGGCCGAAGCUUUCGAGAAGGUAUUUGGUCGGGAUCAUCGGACUACAUUGUUCAAGGAUGUUAGUCUCGCGGAUGAAGCCGUGGUAGAUGGUGGCCAAUGUGUAGCUCUUGGGGUUAGGCCAAGCUCUCAC